UACGUAGGGUGCGAGCGUUGUCCGGAAUUAUUGGGCGUAAAGGGCUCGUAGGCGGUUUGUCGCGUCGGGAGUGAAAUCCACUGGCUUAACUGGUGGCUUGCUUUCGAUACGGGCAGACUGGAGGUAUGCAGGGGAGAACGGAAUUCCUGGUGUAGCGGUGAAAUGCGCAGAUAUCAGGAGGAACACCGGUGGCGAAGGCGGUUCUCUGGGCCUUACCUGACGCUCAGGUGCGAAAGCUAGGGGAGCGAACAGG
rnacentral:rRNA from 1 species